rnacentral:lncRNA from 1 species
CUAAUUUCGAAUUCCAGGCAUCCGCACAUCCCAGGGAGAACGCGCCUUCCAGCCUCCAGCGAAGUGGCGCGCGGAUCUGGGCCAGAACUCUCCAGAGCUGCGCCGCAGACGGCGAAAACCAGAGGUGGUUACAGUCAAGUUUAGGGACUGCAGGAGCGAAUUCCCGAAGGCUUGCAGGAGCCGCCCGGCUCUGCCUCCAGCCUUUCUCUCUGGGCCUAGCGGGACUCUCCCAGGCAGGCCCCUCCCUGCCCGCGGGCGCACUUUCCCCGCCUGCAUCUGAGGCGUGGCGCAGCUGGGAGCAAAGCACAGGUUGUCUUGGGGGCAGCGCCAGCCACCAGAGCCCGAGUCAGCGCGGCCAGGACUCUGCAGGGGCAGGUAGCGACCCUUAGAGACGCAACGUGGCGCAGCGGACUCGGCUGCGUGGGGCAAGGGCCGGGGCCGGACACAGGAGCAGCGGGGAUGCCGGGUGCGCUCCGAGGGUGUGGCCCCCGGGCUGUGCGGGGCUCAGAGCUGCUUGCUGGGCGCGGUGCCCGACAAAGGUAUCCUGGAUCCUAUCUUUGGUACCAAUGUGACCCAUCCUGAGUGAAGGGGCUGUGCACAAAGUAGAACUUUCAGGCCAGUAACUGGACCAUGGGUUCCAAGAAUUGCCAGCUGAGAAGCAUUGUCCUGGUGCAACAUCCAUGACCUGUCAGUGCCACUCCAACAC